CUUUUUUUUUUGGCGCUCUUAUGGCUUAUUUAUAAUGAAUCAUCAUACAAUUUCAGGCUCUACUUUUCGUGUUAGCCCUUAUGGUUAGGGCUGCAAACAGGCCGGCAGAUUAUGAUAGUGAUGAUGAGCUAAUUACCCCAAGACAGCAGAGGCAGCCUUUGCUUAACAGGCCACCAGGUCCUGCAACAGGUGUGCCUGUUACUGGUACCCUUGAUCAGCGACCUAGCAGAAAUGAUGCUUGGAGCACACGUAUGAGGGAAAAGGUAUGAUAUAUUCUGUACUAACUUUUUGGUCUUAGAGAAUAUAUGUGUCUCUCUGGUCAUCUUGAGUAUUUUUAUAUGGCUCUGUCCAAAUAUGCAAGUUAUACAAUGUUGUACAUGACAAGUUAAUUUUCCUGAGUUGAGUUUUGUGAUUUUGUUCAAUAUUAUAAUAAUAAACUAUUCAUGAAUGAUAUUCAUGAAUGAUUUCUUUAAUUUUAAAAAAAAAAAAUUUUCCUCUUCAGUUUACAAAAUUUAUUUUGUGAUGUGAAUUUUGUUUCCUUUUGUUUUCUCUCACAUUAUUUCAGAAUUCUCCUGAUGUUAUGAUGGAAAUUUGUCUUGACUCAUUUUCUUCUUUUAUCUGCAAAAUUCCAUUUAUUUUGUGAUUAAGUUACACGUAUAUGUUUGCAUCUUGCUCAAGCUGCCAAUUCUUGAAUGUCCAUUUAAGAUGAUUUUAUCAAACUAGCAUUUUGUAAUCAGGGUAAGGAUGAUUUUUUCCUCCUCUUCUUUUAUUUUAUUUUUAUUUUUGUUAUAUCUUAUUAUCCGGUGGGCCAAGCUUUGGCUCUGUAGUCUGCACUGAUUACAUGCGGACAACUAGAUGAUUAUCUUCAUGUUACAUAUAUUUUUUAAUCUCCUCUAGUUGAAGAUUAUUUGAUGGGUAUCUUUCUCAUAGCAUCUAGUUCCUAAUUCCAUCACUGUGCUUUUGUUAUUUUCAUGUCUAGUAUGGGCUUGAUACUUCCGAGUUCUCGUACAACCCAUCGGUGUCCACGCAGCCCGCAGAAGAAAGGAGCCGAUGCACCAUCAUGUGAUA
rnacentral:misc_RNA from 1 species